ACUGCUUCUCAGUCAGUGAGAUGGACAAAUACGUGCUUCUCUUUACUUUUCUUGCUGUCUGGGCGUUUAUGGGAUCUGCAGUUCUCUCGGCGCCUCCGAUAUCUACGGAAGAAUCGCAGCAAUGCUUUGACUGUAUAUUGGCGUUCUUUGAGGACUUCGUAAGUGCCUUAAAGAAUCUAACGAGGGCUGGAUGAUGAUGGGGCCACCUACAUGGAGUUCGCUUGGAGCCACAUCAGUGUGCGAGCUUUGUCAACACGUGGAAGGCUAUAAGUCCGUUACUCUUCUAAAAGUCUCUAAGAUGAACUUCUGAAAUUGUUAUAGAAUAAAUUACAGCAUUUGUAUCCCUA